rnacentral:rRNA from 1 species
ACGCUGGCGGCGUGCCUAAUACAUGCAAGUAGAACGCACAGGAUGCACCGUAGUUUACUACACCGUAUUCUGUGAGUUGCGAACGGGUGAGUAACGCGUAGGUAACCUGCCUGGUAGCGGGGGAUAACUAUUAGAAACGAUAGCUAAUACCGCAUAAGAACAUUUACUGCAUGGUAGAUGUUUAAAAGGUGCAAGAGCAUCACUACCAGAUGGACCUGCGUUGUAUUAGCUAGUUGGUGAGGUAACGGCUCACCAAGGCAACGAUACAUAGCCGACCUGAGAGGGUGAUCGGCCUCACUGGGACUGAGACACGGCCCAGACUCCUACGGGAGGCAGCAGUAGGGAAUCUUCGGCAAUGGGGGGAACCCUGACCGAGCAACGCCGCGUGAGUGAAGAAGGUUUUCGGAUCGUAAAGCUCUGUUGUUAAGGAAGAACGUGUGUGAGAGUGGAAAGUUCACACAGUGACGGUACUUAACCAGAAAGGGACGGCUAACUACGUGCCAGCAGCCGCGGUAAUACGUAGGUCCCGAGCGUUGUCCGGAUUUAUUGGGCGUAAAGCGAGCGCAGGCGGUUAGAUAAGUCUGAAGUGAAAGGCAGUGGCUCAACCAUUGUAGGCUUUGGAAACUGUUUAACUUGAGUGCAGAAGGGGAGAGUGGAAUUCCAUGUGUAGCGGUGAAAUGCGUAGAUAUAUGGAGGAACACCGGUGGCGAAAGCGGCUCUCUGGUCUGUAACUGACGCUGAGGCUCGAAAGCGUGGGGAGCGAACAGGAUUAGAUACCCUGGUAGUCCACGCCGUAAACGAUGAGUGCUAGGUGUUAGGUCCUUUCCGGGACUUAGUGCCGCAGCUAACGCAUUAAGCACUCCGCCUGGGGAGUACGACCGCAAGGUUGAAACUCAAAGGAAUUGACGGG